AGCAGCCGCGGUAAUUCCAGCUCCAAUAGCGUAUAUUAAAGUUGUUGCAGUUAAAAAGCUCGUAGUUGAAUUUCGGGAUCAAUAUGUUGGUCGUGCCUCGGUACGUACUAGCAUAUUGGUUUCUCCUUUCUGAAGAACCAUGAUGUCAUUUAUUUGGUGUCGUGGGGAAUCAGGACUGUUACUUUGAAAAAAUUAGAGUGUUUAAAGCAGGCUCACGCUUGAAUACAUUAGCAUGGAAUAAUGAAAUAGGACGUUUGAUUCUAUUUUGUUGGUUUCUAGGAUCGACGUAAUGAUUAAUAGGGAUAGUUGGGGGCAUUAGUAUUCAAUUGUCAGAGGUGAAAUUCUUGGAUUUAUUGAAGACUAACUACUGCGAAAGCAUUUGCCAAGGAUGUUUUCAUUAAUCAAGAACGAAAGUUAGGGGAUCGAAGACGAUCAGAUACCGUCGUAGUCUUAACCAUAAACUAUGCCGACUAGGGAUCGGAUGAUGUUAAUUUUUUAAUGUACUCAUUCGCG
rnacentral:misc_RNA from 1 species